AAGCAAGUCACUUAACCCCAAUUGCCUCACUUAAAAAAAAAAUUUUUUUUGUAAGAGGUUUUAAUAGGGACAUCUGAGGAGUCCCUACAAGGUACCAGUUAGAGAUUACUCUUUCAUUGGAAAAGAGUUGAGAAACAGUUGUAUUUGCUAUUAAAAUUUGUUUUGUAAGAGGUUUUAAUAGGGACAUCUGAGGAGUCACUACAAGGUGCCCCCGGGAGAAGACAUCUUCUAGACUGCCCCACAAAAAGGACUUCCAGAAACCAGAUAACUACACGGGACAUGUGAGAUCCAAGAUGAAAUUGCUAAUUGGAUGGACACUGGGAACACAUCACUGAAAUUACAAAGAGUCUUAGCCAUGUUUAUUGUUAUAAUCUUGGUAGUUAUUGACAUCAGUUCCUUGUGUUAUAUCUGGGCGUUGUUGCCAAAAAAUGAUGAAGAUAGAAUUUUUCAAGGAAUAAAUCCAGUCUUGAGAGGA